rnacentral:pre_miRNA from 1 species
AUAAUACUCCCUUCGUUCCAAAUUACUUGUCAUAGAAAUGGAUGUAUCUAGAACUAAAAUACAUUUAGAUACAUCCAUACCUGCGACAAGUAAUUCGGAACGGAGGGAGUAUGUG